rnacentral:rRNA from 1 species
UACGGAGGGUGCAAGCGUUAUCCGGAUUUACUGGGUUUAAAGGGUGCGCAGGCGGAUAUGUAAGUCAGUGGUGAAAUCUCUAGGCUUAACCUGGAAAUUGCCGUUGAUACUAUAUAUCUUGAAUGCUGUGGAGGUAAGCGGAAUAUGUCAUGUAGCGGUGAAAUGCUUAGAUAUGACAUAGAACACCUAUUGCGAAGGCAGCUUACUACGCAGAUAUUGACGCUCAUGCACGAAAAGCGUGGGGAUCAAACAGGA